CUUUUAUGAAAUGUAUAAAGUGUUUACACUCCUUGAUAAAUUCUUUGAUGUACAGAUUUUCCACCAUGUUCAAAUGAAGAGUCUUAAGUACAAGGAACUAUUAUUACUAAAAUACCUUAUCCUGACUUCAUAAAAACCAACUUGAUACCUCAUUUUACAUCUGAAUUACAAUACUAUAUAUAUAACUAUAUAGCAUUUAUUAGCAUUUUUUCCAAAUAACAGUGUUAACCUAAGGCUUCUGGAUUUCACUAAAAUUAUUUCUUAUAAUAGUUAUUACAGAGAAGUGUCUCACUAUUGGUUAGAAUAAACUUUAUAAAACCAGUCUGAAGAAAAUGGGAAUGACUCCAAACCCACUGGUUCUCUAUACUGUUGUGGGCAAAACUGUAAAUUAAGUGGAAUAUCCUUCCAACUCUUUGCUUAUAACAUCACAAUUACUUCCAUAUCGCAAUAUUCUCCAUUAAGCAAGAGAAACUUCUAAGAGGAAAUAUUCUCAUGAAAUGCAUUUUUAUUCUUAGGUAUGUUUAGUUUAGGCUCCAAACAGAACUAAUUAAUGCAGAAAGCAUUAAAAUAAACAAUGCAUCUGUCUAGAAAACAGAUAUAUUAUUACUUAUGAAGAAAAAAGAGAGAUACUUUUUUUCGUGCUAUUACAGAUUAGUUACUGCAGUCAUGCUGCAUUAUGCUACUGUGCACUUCAACUGCUAAAUGUUAGCUACUAAAGAGAUACAACUACAACAGCAUUUAAAUCACACUACUAUUAUUGUUGGAUAAUUAGAUGAAAUUUCUAAUUCCUACUUGGUAUUUAAAAACCCACAUCAUGUCUUACCUCUAGAAAUAUAUUUUGUGGAUGAACAAUAAUGCAAGAGGGCAUUAGAUGAAACUGGUUGAAACUGUAGAGUUCAGAAACGCCCAGGUUUCCAGGAAAUGUCAAGAAAUAUAGAGAGUUAUUGAUUCUGCACUUGAAUUUCUCAAGUUAUUAGUUUGGAUAUCAGCCAAUCCAACAUAGUCUGUGACUGGCUUAGAACAACGGAUUUGACAAAGAUAUUUUUAAAGCUAACCCUUAAAAGCAUCAUAACUAAUCACAGUUUUAGCUACAACAGUUGUAGUGUUGGGCUCAAACUAUUUUAGAUACUUUCUAAAUAAUUAUAGCAAAACAACUCCAUUAGCAACUCCUGAAGUCGCCUUUGCAUAAACUCACUCCAUUAUUUGCUGGUGCUGUGGAAUGUUGGAGGGAGGUAGUUGACGACCAUUAAAACCUGGUAGACAACAAGUGUUUCCUGUAUGCAGAAGGCAAGCAUGAGUCUUCUCCCCUGCCUCUUAUCUACCGCUUCCCGCUUCCCUCCCACGCCUUCUUGGCACCGGCUGGGAAAGGCUGGGAAUACAGAUCUCUCCUACUCUGCAGGGUUUUUCUCUAGCUACCUACCCUUUUCUGCAGGUGAUUCCAUCGUUUUUCUCUUCUGCAACCCAGGCUUUCCCAGCUGGCUACAUGGUGAACCUGACAAAGCUUUUCAGUUUCCCAGCCGUGCACAAGGCUCUGAACAGCAGUCAGCAACAAGCAGGGGGAGCUUCUCUUUUGCUUGGCAGACACUUGGAAAAAAACCCUCACAAACUGUCUUCACAUCUCCCAUCUUUGGAAAGUGGGAGUCUUUUUCAGAGUCAGAAAUUUAUCUAAUAAAAGCUGUCUGACACAACAGAUAAAAAAAGAUAACCCUUAGUCUUUUCAGAAACAAUACCAUCAAAACUACCCUGGAGAAGAGGGAGGGGAAUAUCCAGAAUUACCUCUGUGAUUUUCAAAUCACAAAUUUCUCCAGAGGAGACGUAAAAAAACUAAACAGAUCUUCAUGUUCUUUUAAUCUGAACUCUGGUUGCUAAACAUUUAUGGCAUAGUUUGUCAGACUUUUCAGACUUUUCAAAAGCUAAACUUUUUAAUCUCUAUUUUCCUCUGAGACAAUUAUUCUCUUUUUUUUUUUUUCCAGAAAAUAUAUCCUAGAAAGCAAAAUAGUAAAAGGAAAAGAACAAAAAAAAAAAAAAAAAAAAAAAAAAAAAAGAAAAAAAAGAAGGGAGAGGAGAAUUCUAAAGAUAGGAGAGGAAAAGAAGAUAAAUUUUCAUUUGCACGUCAUAAGAUAUGAUUCAGAGGAAAUUAAGAUUUCAAACUUCCAUCAUAAAAAAGACAAAGUCUGUAGUAGAAAACAUUACAUUCUAUUUAAAUCUUUAGAUAUAGUAACCACAACAAACUGGAAACUUAUCUGGUGAAAUGCUACCCCGCUGUGAUUUUAAAAAUUCUAUGAACAAUACUAGUUUGUAAGAAUGGUAGAUUUCUUUUACAAUCUCUAGAUCUUAUUGAACUGUUGUUUAGGCAGUUUGGUUUUUUAAGUGGGUCAUGCUUUGCUUUUGCAGAUCUUGAACCAUGGCAGAUUGAGUGCCUGUUUUAAAGAGGAAAUAUGGCUGAAUUGAGGACACCUGUUAUCCUCUUCUGUUAAAGAAUAAUAUCUUUGUAUCCAGAGCAUCUCUGCUGCAGUGUUAUGAAUGCUUGCUGUGUCCUGGGAAACCUGGGCAAAAUGAUGCUUGACCAAAGGUUUGUAUCAUAAGUAAUCCUUAAUUCUGUCAUGUGUCUCAGAUCAAUUGUGUUUGAAAGGCAAUACUACUACAAGUCACUUAAUCUUUUAGGGAUGCAAAUAUCAGAAUUAUAGUUCUUUAAGCAGAGACAUAAAAUAAACCUGACUUACAGCAGAAUCCUUGAAAAGCACAAACCUUUUAUCAUGUAACUGAUUGCAUUUAAAUGACAGAAACUGCUUGUUCUGUCUUCUGAACACUCCUACUUCCAUUUUUUGGGAUAGCUUUCUUUCUUAUCUGCUGUGAAUUUAAUCUAAAAUAAUUAAUUGUUCUUGAUUUGUGGUUUUAGCUUAUUUUUGUGCCAUUUCUCCUGUCUAGCCCUCCUUUCCUCUUGUCCCCUCUUCCCUCCUCCCAUCAAGUCCUUAACAAAGAGCAGACACAGGUAAAGCAAAGGAUGUGCAAUUAUCACAUCCCAAAAGCAAAUGGGCUUGAGGUACAUAAAUUAAUUAUUACAUAAAUUCAUUAUUAUUUUCCAUGAAAACAGACAUAGUAUCUAGGCUCUAUCAGAGCAAUAAGCCUUACCAAUGCUGACUUACAACUGCAGCUGGCUGCCCAAGUGUCCUGAUUCAGCAUUCCUACAAGUACAACAGCACCCAUGCACUAUUAAAAGUAACAUAAGGGCUCUGCCACUCCUAUAUUUUUAAGUGUUAAUGUUGAGAAAGGUCUAUGUUAAAAGACAUAACUAUACAUUACUAAAAUUGAAAAAAUUAACAAAAGCAAAGUUCAGUCCUCCACUCUUAGUGCUGUUCUUUAGGAAGAUCUCACCUACAUGUGCAUUCUUGCUGGCAGGUAGUAUUACACGAAGACUAUCUGGACAUGCUGGGGUUAAUUCUGUUUUGUUUGCAUGAUCCUGAGCACCUCUUUCAGUUAAAUAUACUUAUGCUAGUCAACAGUGCCAUUAUGUCUCUGUAGAUCAUGCUCUUAAUAUUCUCUCUGCAGAAAAUCUUUGAUAGAAGCUAUAUUAAAAUUAUUCCCCCUUUGUUUUGUGGGUUUUAGCAUUUGCCAUGCCAUUUCAGUUUACUGGUUUAUGACACUACUCACCAAACUGUGGACAAGUAAAUUAAUAUACAGUGGCUUCUUGGAACACAAGUGUUUGUGCGAGACAUCACUGUGACUUAAAUUGUCAGCAUUUAAAUUCUGUCCCAGUUCUGCAUUUCCUGGCUUCCAUAAUGAUUUCAGUACUCCCUAAAUUCUGGAGUUUUUUCUUAAUGUUUAUGAUGAUGUUGUGUUUUUAAUUAUGAAUUGCAUACUUAUCAACUAAAUAAAUCUGCAAAAAUACUUCUGUAUUAUCGCAUACUAUUGCAAAACAGAGCAUGACUCAUAGCUAAACACCCUAAAAAUUUUUAAAAGUUUUAGGGACAGAGCAAAUUAAAUAUUUGUUAAGUAUAUAAAUGCUUUGUCAACCCUAUAGGAAAUGUUGGCAUGGCCAGGGCAAAAUGAAGCAUUCUUUUUCCCUUCCCACAUUUCUCCACCCUACUCAACUGGUUUGGUUUGAGAAUUUGAUUACUUCUCUGCCAUGAAUUUCAAAGUAAAGACUUCAGUGUUCUUUUCCUAUUAACAUUACUUUCUUGUCCAAAUCACAUCAUGGUUGCAGCCCAAGAAUAGGAACAAAUUGCUUUGAAAGGACAAUAAGGAAUUAGUGUGCUGGUCAGCACUAUAGCAUCCUAUUAAAAGCCAUACAGACAAGGGAUAAUGUACUGUUCUGAAUGUUGUCAAAGGACUCUCAUGUGAUCCAUGCUUCACCACAUCUGUUCUUUUUCCAUUCUCUCUAUAUACUGUUUUCUUCAACUGAUACAAAUAUGUCAUGACAGCAAUCCCAAAGCCAUGGCUUAUGAAUAAUAUCCCCCAAAAAUCCUUCAGUUCAUAUGUACAUUUAAAUAUACACCCAUACAUGCAUAUCUGUAUAUGUUUAUAAAUAAAAAUGUAAAUAAAAUUACUUCACCUAUUUUAGCCUAUAAAAUAUUUAUUGCUGUAUUUUUGAUUUAUUUAAAUUAAAGAAAUAUAUUUAUUCAGAUUUCCCAUAAAUUAGUGAACCAGAGGCACAUCACAUGUAGGUAACUCUCACAAGCAGACCCAUCUAGAUAAAGAACUUAAAAGUUAUACUUUAAAUUUAAAACAUGGGAAGCUACUCUCUCCUCUGUAGGGAUGAUAAUGGGGAGCAACAGUAAAAAGUAGCCCUAGCAGAGUGAGCACAAAUAUGAGUAACUGAAAAGGGAGCAGUGAAUGCCAGCUUUAUAAUAGAUUAUCAAGGGAUAAUCUAUGAAUUUUUGAAUCUGUGUCUAUUAGCAAGGGAGAAUUCCUAGUAGGAAAAAAAAAAAUAAAAAGGAAGAAAGAAAAAAGGAAAGGAAAAUGAUUCAACUGGUUAAGCCUGGGAGGGAGGUAGAAGAUGUGACCAUUAUUUCAGGGAAACAAGUUACACUUGCAGAAGGAUGGUGGCUGGAACCACCACUCAGUAGCAAAUGACCUGUCUACUCUGAACACUCACUCUCAGUGAGGUGCACAACCACCCUGAGUGACCCAUGCCAUAUUUCCCACACAAAGAAUAACAGUAAUUUUACCAGGUAACAAACACAAAAGUUAUACCAAAGAAGAGGGGAAAAAAAAAAGUUGAGCAUUAAGAGUCAAGCACAUAGAAAGUCUGGCAAGAAUCCAGACAUGCAGCACAACACUGAGCAGGCUUUUUUCCCCUGUCUUUUUCCAGGUAAUGCAAUAAAAAUUUGUCCUGAUGCAACAUUUAAUUAUCUGGAAAGAUAUAACCUAUUCCAAACAGCUGAGGGAGGACCUAUCCAGAUUGUAAAAGAAAACAAAACAAAACCAAGGAGAAACCCAGCCCCCUGCCUCACCUAGGCCUCUCUUAGGUAACUGCCUUCCUAAAACUCACCUUCAUCCC